rnacentral:rRNA from 1 species
GUCCUUUUGAAAUUGAUUUAAGGUUUAACCUGCCCACUGAAAUUUUUUGAAGGGCCGCAGUAAUUUGACUGUGCAAAGGUAGCAUAAUCAUUAGUUUUUUAAUUAAAAGCUUGUAUGAAGGGUUGGACGAGAUAAAUUCUGUCUCUAUUUAAUUAAAUUUAGAAUUUAAUUUUUAAGUUAAAAAGCUUAAAUUUUUUUAAAAGACGAGAAGACCCUAUAGAUCUUUAUAUUAGAAAUAUUAAUUUUAAUUAGGAAUAUUUUAUAUUUUAUUAUUAAUAAUAUUUUAUUGGGGUAAUAAAAAGAUUUAAUUAAUUCUUUUUUUAUUUAAACAUUAAUAAAUGAUUAUAUGAUCCAUUUUUAUUGAUUAAAAGAUUAAGUUACCUUAGGGAUAACAGCGUAAUUUUUUUAGAGAGUUCAUAUCGAUAAAAAAGUUUGCGACCUCGAUGUUGGAUUAAAAAUUAUCUUAGGCGUAGAAUUUUAAGAUCUUGGUCUGUUCGACCAUUAAAUUUUUACAUGAUCUGAGUUCAGACCGGCGUAAGCCAGGUCGGUUUCUAUCUUUAAUAAAAUUUUAUAUUUUAGUACGAAAGGACCAAUUAUAAGAUAUAUUUAUAUUUAAUUAUUUUGAAUAU